rnacentral:rRNA from 1 species
UACGUAGGUGGCAAGCGUUAUCCGGAUUUACUGGGUGUAAAGGGCGCGUAGGCGGGAUGACAAGUCAGAUGUGAAAACUAUGGGCUUAACCCAUAGCCUGCAUUUGAAACUGCCGUUCUUGAGUGAUGGAGAGGCAAGUGGAAUUCCUAGUGUAGCGGUGAAAUGCGUAGAUAUUAGGAGGAACACCAGUGGCGAAGGCGACUUGCUGGACAUUAACUGACGCUGAAGCGCGAAAGCGUGGGGAG